rnacentral:rRNA from 1 species
AUUGAACGCUGGCGGCAUGCCUUACACAUGCAAGUCGAACGGUAACAGGUUAAGCUGACGAGUGGCGAACGGGUGAGUAAUACAUCGGAACGCGCCCAGACGUGGGGGAUAGCUCGGCGAAAGCCGGAUUAAUACCGCAUAAGCUCUGAGGAGGAAAGCGGGGGACCGUAAGGCCUCGCGCGUUUGGAGCGGCCGAUGGCAGAUUAGGUAGUUGGUGGGGUAAAGGCUUACCAAGCCUACGAUCUGUAGCUGGUCUGAGAGGACGACCAGCCACACUGGGACUGAGACACGGCCCAGACUCCUACGGGAGGCAGCAGUGGGGAAUUUUGGACAAUGGGCGCAAGCCUGAUCCAGCAAUGCCGCGUGCAGGAUGAAGGCCUUCGGGUUGUAAACUGCUUUUGUACGGAACGAAAAGGCGCCUACUAAUACUGGGUGUUGAUGACGGUACCGUAAGAAUAAGCACCGGCUAACUACGUGCCAGCCGCCGCGGUAAGAC